rnacentral:rRNA from 1 species
GCUGAUCUUAUAGGGCCGGGCUUUGUCGUUCCAGAGAGAGAGCGCGAGCGGAGAGAGGAGGAGCAGAAGCCGCCGCCGCUGCCGCCACCGCUACGACAGGCCGCUGCAAGGGGGCUUGGUCUGGCAGAUGAAGUCCUUGGAGUUGCUCUUCCAGUUCUUUCUUCUCGACUUCUCUAGUGAAAUACGUAACACGAGAGUCAUACCUUCCUAUCACCUACAACACCGGAACUUUUGAGUAUUUGACUCCCCCGUUCGGACCCACCGUAAGUCACUUUAAUGUCGCCGAUGGUUGCGAAAGGCCCCGGAUGUCCUGAAGCUAAAAAUGCCGUUUUUUUACGCCCAUGUUAUACGUUUUUGUUUCAGACUGACAAAACGUUUUCGUCUACCCAGAAUACGAGGAUUUCUCUUUUCCUUCUUCGUUCUCCUCUUUCGACGACUCUUUUUUGCCGCUUGACUUCUACCUGUUGUUGGACCACGAUCACGAGGACAACGGGGUUCGUUACCUUGACCAGUAGUUGGAAGAGCAAAACGGUUCGGAGGCGUUCUCGGUCGACGAGGCGGCUUGUUGUAGGAGAAGGAGGUCUUGUACGGCCUGGUCUGGUGCUCGUACUACGAGGUCUAGGACAAGGUCGUUAUGGGACCAAAGGCCCUCCACGCCUACUAGCUUCGGUUCGGUCCGUAACGAAAACACCUCAUGCUCCUGCUCUUGGUCAGGUACCAACGUUACCUUCGGGAGGUCCCAAAGUUCUAGUCGGGUCUCUUGGGUUACCGGUAGAGUAUGCGGUUUUUCACUUUUGCUAGGUACACUAGAGCCUUGGCCGGUUUUCUUUAGACAUUGACAAACCGAGAC